rnacentral:rRNA from 1 species
GAUGAACGCUAGCGGGAGGCCUAACACAUGCAAGCCGAGCGGUAGAGAUCUUUCGGGAUCUUGAGAGCGGCGUACGGGUGCGGAACACGUGUGCAACCUGCCUUUAUCAGGGGGAUAGCCUUUCGAAAGGAAGAUUAAUACCCCAUAAUAUUUAGAAUGGCAUCAUUUUAAAUUGAAAACUCCGGUGGAUAGAGAUGGGCACGCGCAAGAUUAGAUAGUUGGUGAGGUAACGGCUCACCAAGUCUGCGAUCUUUAGGGGCCUGAGAGGGUGAUCCCCACACUGGUACUGAGACACGGACCAG